GUUUUUGGAUGUUCUGGGGUGACUCAGGUGUGUUUUUGGGGUGUUUUUGGGUCCCAGUUGUAUUUUUGGGAUGUUUUGGGGAUGUUUUUGGGUCCCAGCUGUGUUUUUGGGAUGUUUUCGGGUGGUUUUGGGGUAACUCAGGUGUGUUUUUGGGGUAUUUGGGGUGUUUUGGGGUGACUCAAGUGUGUUUUUGGGGUGUUUCUGGAUGUUUUAGGGUGACUCAGCUGUGUUUUUGGGGUGUUUUUGGGUCCCAGCUGUGAUUUUGGGAUGUUUUGGGGUGGUUUUGGGGUGACUCAGGUGUAUUUUUGGGGUGUUUUUGGAUGUUUUGGGGUGACUCAGGUGUAUUUUUGGGGUGUUUUUUGGAUGUUUUGGGGUGACUCAGGUGUGUUUUUGGGGUGUUUUUUGGAUGUUUUGGGGUGUUUUUGGGGUGUUUUUGGGUCCCAGCUGUGAUUUUGGGAUGUUUUCGGGUGGUUUUGGGGUGACUCAGGUGCGUUUUUGGGGUGUUUUUGGGUCACAGCUGUAUUUUUGGGGUGUUUUUGGGGUGUUUUUGGGUCCCAGCUGUAUUUUUGGGAUGUUUUCGGGUGGUUUUGGGGUGACUCAGGUGUGUUUUUGGAUGUUUUGGGGUGACUCAGGUGCGUUUUUGGGGUGUUUUUGGAUGUUUUAGGGUGACUCAGGUGUGUUUUUGGGAUGUUUUAGGAUGUUUUGGGGUGACUCAGGUGCGUUUUUGGGAUGUUUUGGGAUGUUUUGGGGUGGUUUUGGGGUGUUUUUGGGUCCCAGCUGUGAUUUUGGGAUGUUUUGGGAUGUUUUGGGGUGACUCAGGUGUGUUUUUGGGGUGUUUUUGGGUCCCAGCUGUGAUUUUGGGAUGUUUUGGAUGUUUUGGGGUGACUCAGGUGCGUUUUUGGGGUCCCCCAGGUGCUGGACCCCGCGUUCCGGGGCCCCUUUGGGAACGUGAAUCGCUGGUUCCUGACGUGCCUGAACCAGCCCCAGUUCAAAGCCGUGCUGGGAGAGGUGACCCUGUGCCAGAGGAUGGCCCAGUUCGACGCCAAGAAAUUUGCGGAGAGCCAGGCCCGGAAGGAGAAGGAGCCCCCCAAGAAGGAGAAGGAGCCCCCCAAGAAGGAGAAGCCCCCCAAGAGGGAGGAGAAGCGGCCGGAGCCCGACGAGGACCUGGAUGAGUGCGAGCAGGUCCUGGCAGCUGAGCCCAAAGCCAAGGAUCCCUUCGCACACCUGCCCAAGAGGUGGGGACACGCCUGGGGACACCUGGGGACAGCUGGGGACACCUGGGGAUACACCUGGGGGGGUCUGGGGACACCUGGGGACAGCUGGGGACACACCUGGGGACACACCUGGACACACCUGGACACAGCUGGGGACACCUGGGGA
rnacentral:lncRNA from 1 species